CUAAGUAUGAGGCAAAAGGAGUAACGGCUUGGUCAGAAGUGGAAAUGUCUCAUGCACAUUUCUUGCCUAGAACUCUAUAAACUCAUCUGAAAUAAGUGUUCAUGAUAUAAAUCAGAUGAACGAGAGGAUACUUUUAAUAUAUUUUAGGAUAGUUUCUUUCCAUUGUCUUUUAGCUCUUGGGUUCUUCAAUGUCCAUUAUACCUAGUAAGAAGUAUCCAUUGUGCUCUGAGUUACCUCUGGGAACUGAACUGGAAAAAAAAAAAUCCUGAAUGCCUGAAAGUGUGUGUCAUUAUUGAUAGAGAUGAGCUGAACUUUUCUCUGUCUCAAUAUACUUUUUGUUUCCAACAAGACAUUUACAUACUUUGCAUAAAUUGAUUAUGCUGUAAGCUAAUGUGAGCACAAACUUGGCAUUGUACAGAUGACUCCCUCUCUACUGCUAUGACAGGUCCAGCUGACACCUGGGAUUCAGACCAAUCUAGUUACCACAGGCUUGGUGAAACUCAAAGUCUGCUACACAAAUGUGGCAGUCAGUGUUCAUGGCCAACCCACUAGCUAGAGAGGUCUGGAAUAAGAUGGGAGAUCAGUCGGCUGUCAAAAUUAAAUACCUUAGCUCCUUUACAGAUGCUCUUGACAACAUAUUUUAAGUAAAUAGAUGAAGCGAGUGAGUGAUAAUGAAGAUAGAUUUGGAUUUUAUGUUAAAGACCUGAACACAACCCUUGGGACCAGUUCUUUCUGUGCAGCAGCCCCAUCCUUCUGUAGGUGGCUGCUUUUAGAGCUCUCUUGGCAGACCAAGAGUCUCCACAUUUUGGGAGAUAUCUCUUACCUUCCUUCCUAUGUCUAGAGGACAUUUUAUAGGGACACUUCCUUCUUGUCUUCCACACUUUUUUUUGAGUGUGUAGAAAUAGAAAUUAGAUUGUCUCCACUGUCCUCUAGUGUAUAAUAUGAUGGACAUCUGCAAUCAUCAAACCUGCUGCAAGAAGGAGUCCUCUUCCUCUUCUGAGACAACCUGGAGGAAAACAGGUAAAUUUCAUUUGUGAUUAACUAUUGCCAAGAAGUAAAUUACCAUUAUGAUUUCACUCUUCCAAGUUAGGGAGGACUCAAAAGUAGGAGAAACUCAGAAAGAAAAAAAAAAAAUUCAAGAGGCACUGAGACCAGAGGAUUGCAAGUUCAAGGCCAGCCUGGGCAACAUGGUGAGGACUUGUUUCAAAAAAAAAAGAAAAAGAAAAAAAAAUUCUGAGUUUCACCAGAUAUCAAAACCUAUUCCUAUAAUCAGUAAGGGGAAAACCAAUUAAAAAGUCAUGAUUCAUGAAAGCAUUUGCCAAUCUCUUAUGGUUCAAAUUCCUUACUUUCCUAAAUGGCAGCUAGUAUGGACUCCCUAUAUAAUGUUCUAUCCCAUUGUUAAUUAAACAGGGUGGGAAAGGGACAUGAAGGGAGUGGCACACCACUAUCAAAUAAUCAUGAAAAUCCUAAUGAUUGGUCUCAUAGUGUCUUACUCCUGGUAUCAAGUUCACUUACAUACUCUUUCCCUUGAUAAGAGAGAGCUGCAAUAAAAGCUUUGACUGUCUUCCUAAGAGAAAUCUGACACUUAAUGACACAAAAUUUGGGUAUGAUCAAUCUAGAAGAUUCCAGGAGCCCAGGGGAAAUGUUAACAGGCACAGAAGCCAAAGGCUGAGCACCAAGCCUCAGACCAUUUAUUUACUAAGUCGCUGGCUUAGAUACAGCAGGUGGGGGAGUCAAAACACUCCUAUAUUACUACAGGGAGCAUUGACUAUGCCUGGAUAGCCCAUUGGCUGCAAAUUUCUUUGAAAUUAAUGACUGAGAGAAAAGCCAACAUUGUCAACAGUGUUUAGGUACUAUCUCAGCUAAGGAAUUAAAUGAGAUUACUUCUUCUUUCAUUAAAAUGUGCUUUAGGGUUAUGUUUUAUUUUAUUGUCUCACUUUCCAGGACUCUGAAGAUUUGUCUCUCUCCCCAGGGAGAUGUACUCCAUUUCAAUAAGAGGGAGCAGCAUGGUUUAUUAGAUGGAUGUUAACUGAGCAUUCUGUGCAAAGAAGCUUGUGAAGUGACUUAGAUACUCCAUCUUGUUAAAUUCUCCCCAGAGCGCUAUGAGGUAGGUACUGCUAUUGUCCCUAUUUCACACAUGAGGAAAUGGAGGCUCAGACGCAUUAAAUGAUCCACCUAAGAGCUCAUGGCCCUCACAGUGAAGCUGUUAGUCCCAAGCUUACUGUCUGCCUACUACUGCUAAACCAAGGGCUAGAUGGAGAUGGGGUGGGGCGGGGAGGAGCAGGAAACCCAUGGAAUGCACAGGUAAGGGAGAAACCAAGGCAGGGAGAAAAGGCUCCCAUUGGGCCAAUGCAGAGGAGCUGGAAUGCGUUCCCUCUCUUCCCUCAGUGAGCAGAAAAUACGGAAUCAAAACCAAACAGUAUCUUCCAUUACUGAACCUUCUUACUAAUGGGGCCCACACUGCAUCAGCUGUAUAGAUCUGAACCCCAAUGGCUACUUCCAAGUCUUAUCAUCAGAGCUAGGGACCAGGACAUCAUCCAGAUUUGGAGGGGUACAUCUACAGACACUGAUUUCCUUCAGGGUCCACCAGAGAAGCCCCUAACUCUUCCAUUUCAUCAUGCUCACUCCAAAGAAACCUCCUUUGCCUGCUUAGCAAUUUAAAGUAUAAUAUGUUGGAAAGGGGAAAGAAGAAAUAGUUCUUGAAGUUCUGUUUGUCAUUCUCUUGCCCUAAUAGGGUUUAGUAAAUCUGUUAUCCUGAUCAUCCCCUUGAAAUUCUCAGUUAGAGUCUUUAAAUCUGCCCAGCCCGUUCCUGCUUGCUUAUCCUUCACUGAGCUCUUCUGUACCAACCAUGGUAGACCAAGUGGUUUCUGCAUGUCCUUGCUAAUAGUAGCUUGCUUUUGAUGCACCACUCUGGAAGGAUCAAAGCUUGCCAUAAAUAAAAACAUUACUGAUCAUAAUAUUUAUUUUAAGGCAAUAUCAGGACAUUCUAAAGCCUCUCCGUUGCUUUGGGCACAACUUUUAUAGAACUAGUCGGAAACCUGCUUGUUUACUCCAGUUUCUUCUCAGUUGGAAUACAGAUAAUUCCUAAGAAGUCACUUGAAAAAGGCAUGUGUGAAACCGGAGGAGCGAGCUCAUGAAAAACUGAGGGCCAGAGAUAUGAGCAAGAUCUGAUAAUUUUAUAAAAAUUGUAAAAGGGAAUAUGAUAUGCUGCUGGCCUCACUAAAAUUUUUAUUUGUGAACAACAAUUGAUGAUGUGGUCACUUGUACCGACUGCAGUUUUAUACCUAAGGAAUACAGAAAAGUGGACAGAUGUGUUCUACAGGUUUCUCCUGGACAAUGACAGGAAGCCCUGAUGGAGGCAGGGAGGGCAAAGGAAAGGGAGUGCCAGGUAGAGAAAUAGAAGAGCUGGUCAAGUCAUGGUCCUGACUUCUGUGAUGAAGGACUAGCAGCCAGGAGUGUCCAAUUAUUCUUCUUUUAAAUAUCACCUUCACAAUUUUAGUCACAUGCUUCUACAAUUUUAUUUUAUUUGAAGCGGACUCUUUUUUCUUCCACCUUGGCCUCAUCCUAACAAAUACUAAUAUACAUGUGGGAGAUAUUUUUGAUAUUAUUAAUUGAAAUUAAAAAAUUCCUCCCUGUCACAUCUAUAGUUAUCUUAAGUCACUUUACCACUGAGGAAAAUGAGUAAAGAUCAAAGCAGUAAAGUGACGUGUCCAAGGUUACACAGCCUUACAACAGAAAGGGCUGAUUUAGUAUCUAAGUCUUUUAGGUAUGGGUCCAGCACUUUUCUUCUGUCAUUUUUCCUAGAAGCUAAAAACAAAAAACAACAACAGCAACAAAAUUUAUACAGUUAGCACUUUCUCUGGGGGAGAAGAGGACAUGACGUUUCAAUGCUUUCUUGGUAGUGCUAAACCUUAUUUACCUUAGCCAUGUCUUUAAUCUAUUAAUUACAUUGUGUAAAAUCUAACACAUUUCUAUGACAAUAAGGGAUGGGAAAGAAAAGGAGGCUAAAUGGGAAGGAGAGAUCUCUGUGGGUUUUGAAAUCCAGGGCUGCCCAUCCUCUAGAAAGGUCAGCUGAACAGAAGCCAGAAGGAAGGAUGGGAAGGCCACUAACCAUAAACAGUCUGGUCAAGGGCAAGAGUCCAGAGUCAAUUGCCUGCCUGCCUUGGCCAUUCGUUUAAACUUGUGGCAUGUUGUGGCCUUAGCUUAAUUCUUGAUCUAUGGCCUUUCAAAGUCUGUGGCUAUUUCCAACAUCUCAUGACUUCUCAUUUGUCACUCCCAGCACAGAUUCUAAAGAGGACUUCAAUAAAAGUUUAAAAAAAAAUGCAGGUGGAACAAUUUAGUCUGGCAUAAAGAAAAAGCAUCUCACAUACUAGGUAUUUUGUUGCAGACUGAUACUGGCCUGCUUAUUCAUUUAUUUGAAGGUCUAAGGGUUCUAAUAAACUCACCAGGUAUAUAUUUUUUUCCUUCCUUCAAAUUUCUCAUCCGGAACUACUUCAUAAUCCUAACCCCCCGAGGUCUCCACCUGGACAUGAAUGUGUGUGACAACUUCUGGGUUAUACUGCUAUUCCGUUCAGUUAAGUCAGGUUCCCUGCAGGUGUUGUUUCUAUUCUACAGAAGACACUGGAGCUUUGAGAAGUUAAAUGACUUGCCUAUAAUCACAAAGCUAAUAUGAAGAGGACCUGAAGUUCAGAUCUUUUUCCUCCCACUUUGAGGUUCCUGCUACCACCUGUCACUCCUGUAGAUCUGUAUCUCCUGCAUCUUUAUUUUUCUUUCCUCAGGUCAACACACAAUUCCUCCAGAGCCUGGGAUCCUUCAUCAGUCUUACUUUUGUGGAGAUAAGGAACUCACUGAGGCUCUCGAGCUUUGGAUUUGUUUUGUUUUUUUCUCAGUCUUUGGAGGCAGAUUGGCAUUUGUCCUGGAUUGAGCGUUGAGAGUCAGACCCUCUUCUAGGCUUGAAUCCUAGAUCAGCUGCUUACUACCUGUGCCAGCUGCAACAAGUUGCUUAACGUCUCUAUCUCACUUUCCUCAUCUGUAAAAUGGAGAAAGAAUCCUUUUAGGUAAUUACAGACCUGAAGGCCUCACAGGAUUGUUUUGAGGAUUAAAGGACCCAGCGGUUGAUAAGUGCUUAGGAUCAUUAAUUAAUCUGAGUGUAUUUCUUGUUUUGCUUCACCCUUUUACAAAGUCUAGUUUUGAAUUCAGGAUCCUUUCUCCCAUAUGUUUUUUAUGGUGAAUGGAAAUACAAGUUUAGGGUCUGUUCUGUCCAUUUUUUCAAAGUGGCAUGAUACUUUUUAAAGUGAUUCAAAGAGAAUCCCUAGCCUUUCUCAUCUUUCCACGUGGCUUCUAUUUGCCCAUCAAUUCACAAGUUUUUUUCUUUCCUUCCUAUGGCAGUUAGGUGAAGAGAAGGAGGAAGCACCAUUUGGGAAUUUUUUGACAGAUAUUGUUUCCUCUCACUUAUAUUGAAAGGAAAUCUCUCCUGUUUCAGAUGAGAAACAUUGGCCUUCUUGCUAGUCGAAAGUUGGAAACGGCAAGGGAAUUUCCAUGAGUUUCUCUACUCCAAGGACAGAGAAAACAUUACCCAUCUCCUCCUGUUCCUAAAGGCAGCAUCUCCUAGCCUUCUGUCUUCAUCAUGGUCCUCUUAGGUAAUUGCUUAGCCUGAAGGCCUCCCACUCCCUCCCCUUCUUUCUGUGAUUUCCCAGAGCCAGGAAGACUUGGAAAUUUUCAGCCUUCAGCUUCCAUUAGCUGCCACUCUGAAACCUGACCUUCCCAUACUUUUUCUUUUCCUUUCUUCUUCGCAGAAUUCUCCCCUCCCUCUUCUUUACUUCAAAUUCCUAUCUCAACUUUCUUUUUUCCCUUCCUUUUUACCUUUAUUCAUUCAACCCCUAGUCAGGGGAAUGCUAGUUACAUUCAAGCACUUUUGGACACUGACUUUCAGAGGGGAUGAGGCCAACCCUUGGAGAGGAGUGUCUUCUUUUAGUAAUGGAAUGAAUAUAAUUCUUGUUCUAAGUUACUUAUACUUAUUUUAGCUCUAUCCAGUUUUCUGUCACUUAUUACAUGUAUAAUUAUGGGCUACCUACUAUACCUUUCUGAGGGUCAGUUUACUAAUCAGUUAAAAGGGGGAUUAAAAUGGCAAUCCUAACACCUUGCCAAAAAAUACAUUGUGAGGAUUAAAUGAGAUACCAUACAGGUGUUCAGCCUGAUGUCUGGCACAUAUUAGAUGUUUAUGAAAUUUAACAAUUGCCAUGUAAUAUUAUUAAAUGAAAUAUACAUGGAAGAAACCAAUAGAAUUCAGGCUUUUUCUUCUCUCUUUUUUCUUUCUCAUGAUAUUUGACCAGACAGGCCCUAUAUGUUUCCUAAAGACAGUCAUCUAGUUACUGCUUAUACCAUCUAGAUUCACUUAAUAAUCUCUCCACAUUUCUGUAUAGAUCCAGUUGUGUGUCAGAAUAAUAAACUAGGGAGAGGAGUUGGUCCACACCUUCAGACUCAGCAAGCAGAAAUUCAACUCAGCCUGGAGAGAUAGCUUAUAAGAACUUGCUAAUUUUAAAACUGUGGUGUGUGUGUACUUGGAGUUUUAGAAGUUUUAAAGCUAUGAGAAACCGUUGAGAGCUUUGAGGUCAGCCUCACAUUUUCAGGUUAAAAAAAAAAAAAAUCAAGAACCAAGGAGGACAUAGUGCCAUGGUCAAGGUCACACAGGGGACCAUGAAAGAGCAAGAUGUUUUGGUAUCUACUCCUAUGUGAGCUUCUCUAUGCUAUCAUAACAAUGUAUGAAAACAUAGUCUGUUGUUCUAGGUCUAUUUUGAUAAGAAAUAAAUUUGGGGGAUGGGGUUGUGGCUCAGCGGUAGAAUGUUUGUCUACCACAUUCGAAGCCCUGGAUUCGAUCCUCAGCACCACAAAAUAAAUAAGUAAAUAAGUAAAAGUAUUCCAAUGACAACUAAAAACUAAAUAUUCAAAAAAGGAAAUAAAUUCAGUUUUGUGCACAUGCAUGUUUGAAGUCUCUGAUGGAAUGAUCUGUGGGCUCCUGUGAUGAACAAGCAAAUGUAAAAUUUUUAAUAAUGAGCACUAUUAAUACCAAAAGCUCAGAACAAUAAAUGUGUAUUGAUUGCCUAAUCUGUGCCAGGGGCUUUGCAUUCAACCUCUCAUUUCAUCCUCACUCCAGCUCUUCAGAAUAGAUAUUUUUCUACCCUAAGGAAACUGAGGACCAAGGAGGCAGGUUCCCUUGCCCCUAUCCUAAUAGACCCAGGCUGACAUUGGAGAUCUGUGUGUUUUCAAAUGUGCUGUGUCAUGUUGCUUAAUUCAUGCUCAGAUUGACUUUCUGAGAAAGCAAAGGGGAGAAAUACAGAGUAGGAGGAAAAAACCAGAGGGAGAGGAUGAGGAAAUUGGGAAGCAGCAACAUGGGAAACAUUUCUGAUAGGGGUAAGGAAAAGUAUGUAAGGGCACCUGAGGGAUGACAAUAAAAAAGUCUAAUUUACAAAUGAAUCUUUUCAUUGCCUCCUAUUCUGCUAUUGAGUCAAUUAAAAAAAAAACUUUACUGAAGAAUGUAAAACAAGGCAAGACUGGCUUUUUCACUCUUUAUAAUUUCUGUCAUAUAACAUUCUCAAAAAGACAAAGUAUAGCAAUGGAGAAUGGAUCGCUUGUUGCUGGGAGCUAAGGGUGGAGACAGCACCACUAAUUUUUUAAGGUGAUAGAGUUGUUCUGGAUCCUGAUAGUAGUGGUCACACAAAUCUAUUCCUAGAAUUAUAUAUCAAAUAGUCAGUCAACUGUACUGCAUGUUUGUUUUUAAAAUAAGGUGUUAUAAAACAAGGCACAAAACCCCACUGGUGAACCCUUGGGUUGUGUUCACAAUGAUGUGAAAGUUGUUAAAUAAGCUCACUUUUCAGAUGUCAUCUGGUGCCUCCCCCAGCGGAUUCCAGCUGACAGCUAACCUUUCAGUGGCACUGCCUGAGGACCAGGGGCUUGUUCCUUAUAAAUCUAGGCUCCAAGUCUUAUGUAGACACCUUCAUUUCAUCUAAGGCAGUAGGAACGAGAGUGGAGGUUUACUAGGAAGGAGUAAUAUAGGGGUGGAAAUAUACAUCUCACUAUGUAUAUUUUUAAAUAAGAGAAUUCUACCACCACAGAGUAUAGAUGACAUUUCUCCUAAACCUAUUAUCUCAUGAAAUCAAAUACAAGUAAGGGGAGAGUCUCUACAAUAGAAAGUUAAUGUAAAGUAGCAUUAAACCCUCUUGCAGCUGUAAUAGCAGCUGUUGUGAUCUACUGUGCCUACUAAAGGAGCCAGGCAUUUGACCUCCUUGCAUUGUUUCUGUUCUCCCUCACAGUCCUGUCAUUUCCCUAUUGCUCACUUGAGGAAUGAUAAGGAGAUUGUGGAGCAGUUACAGUCCUGUUACUUUCACGGGCACUUCAGUGGGGGCCACUCGUCCUAAUGAGGAGCCAGUGCUGCCCACCUUUCCUCCUCACUUCCCACCAUUGGCAACCCCAUUGACCACUCUGCAUACUUAGUCCUCAUGCCCACCCCAAAUCUGACCUCUAAAAUCUGGUCCUACUCUCACUCAGUCCCAUAAGAGUUUGAUUCUGGCUUUAACUCCAUCUGUUCCCAUCCUUCCAUUUUCAUGCUUUGGGCACUAUCAUCAGGAAACAGGAAAUACACACAAAUCCAGAAGGAGAUGAGUUCUUAGGUGCUCCACAUGGGCAGUCACACAAGUCUUUCCAGACCUUGUUAUAAAUGGUGGUCAAGUUUUACAGGCUAUUGGCUUGGAAUCAGAGAUUGUUAAUCUCUCACUCUUUAUUCAUAGACAUGAGUGUUGGAGGGGUCCUCAGUCUUUAUGUUAUACAAGCUCUAAGAACUGCACAUUUUGUGGGCUGAUCUGGGAAUCAAGUCAUCAUGUGGAGCUGUUGCCCUCCAAGUGUGUGCUUAAAUCAUGUCCCUACCCAGACCUAUUGAUUCAGAAAUUCUAGGGAUAAGGCUCAGCAAUCUGGGUUUUAACAAGACUUCUGGGUGAUUCUGAGGCAUACAAAAGUUUAAAACCUACUGAUCUACUGACAGUACUUCUCAAACUUUAAUGUGCAUAAAAAUAACCUGAAGAUGGGGUUACCAGUUUUAGCAAACAAAAGUAUAAGCUCCACCUUUGUAGAGUCCAUGAGUGAAUAGAAUAAUCAAGAAACACACGACUCUUCAAGGACAGGAAGGGGGAAGAAAAGUAAUAUUUUCUGUGUUUAGGUUUGCCAGGCACUUAGCUCACUUAAUCCUCUAAAUAGCUUUAGAUCGUAGAUCUUAUAUUUAGGGACAUGCUUAUGCUAAAAAAUAAUUUCAUUGUUUAUCUGAAAUUCAAAUUUAAUUAGGCAGCCUGUAUUUUACAUGUCAAAUAUGCCUGAGAAUUUUUUUUAAAUGCAGUUUCUGAUUUGAUAAUAAUGAAGUGAAGCCCAAGAUUCUGCAUUUUAAACCAAGCUCCCUGGUGAUAGGUACUCAGAUCCCAAACCAUACUGAUUGCAAGGAUCUAAAGAUAUUUGCUAAACACAGAUUCCUGUGUCCUUCAAUCUACUAAAUCAGAUUUCCCAAAGGAGACACUGAUUUGGAAUACUGUGAUCAAGGGACCAUAUGUUCUGCAUCACAGAUAUCCCAUUCACAAACUUUGAGGAGGCCUUCUGAAUCUGGGACUUAAUAUAUUCAUGCAACUCGGCAUACAAAAUAGUGGAGCUGAACCAAGAAUGGGGAGGUUUUGCUGAGAGUGGGGGAGGAAAAGGGAAGCUCAUUGAGAUAAAUAGCCAACUUACUGUAGGAGUGGAGGACCCCAGAAAUAGGAAGCUUGAUGAAGCUGAUAAAAAGCAAAACUCAGGCUGCUCUUCCCUCAGGCCCACCAAAGACAGACAACAUUUCCAGGUGCAGAACUCUAGUGGGUACAUAAAUAGAGCCCCCCUGUAUUGAGAACUCUUGGUGAUAUACCAAUUCAGGUUAUUCUCAAAUAAUACUUUAAAGUUGAAAUUCUCUUUCCAUUUAGUACAUUGAGAACCCAGAGCUCAGAAUUUGCUAAGUAAUGUGGUGAAGCUAGCAAGACCUGAAGUUGGGAUUUGAACAUAGGUUUGCUCCUGAAGCCUCUCCCCACAGCAUGAUGUCUCUCUUGUGGAACUGAAGCACAGUGGAAGCUCCAGAGGAGGCACAGUCUCUUUACUUUGCAGCAAAACAUUCUUUUCUUCAUGCCAACUGCCUUCAACAUCCUCCUAGCUGGGCCUCUUCAUUUCAUCAGAAAAUGACCUGCAUGGACCAUUUAUUUUGCUUGGUGAUUCAUCUAUGUCUUAUUUCCCUCUGAUAUUGUGCCCUGCCUGGUGGAAGCUUCCAGAGAGGGCCUAACCACCAGUUUCAGAGGCCCAUUAGCUUCCUCCUUUGGCUGCAGCCAGAUUAGCCCUGUAUUUAUUCUCGAUGUACCUUUUUCCCUUUGAUCUUCCAGAACAGUCACUUCAAUUUAGGUUUCUACCUGGACAUGAUGAAAUUCCAAGCAUGUUCUCACCUCCAUCCCAGGUUUCAAGGUGUAUUAGUUUAAAGAAUUCUUCCCCAUCUGAGGAAAUGAUGUUGGUCCAAGCAAUGCUAGAGAGUUGGAAGUCCCAGUCUCACUGUGGGUAAGACGUUAGAAUUUCAAACUCUUAAUCCUAUUGAUUCUCAGUCCUUUUGAUCUUUUCAGCACUUGUCAGGAGAGUUGAGUUUGUGUAAUUGGGGUGUGUGUAUGUGGAGGGGUGCUGAUUGGCUCUGGUCUUAUUAUGACCUGUUUGUGUCAUUUAAUUAAUAAGAAAAGCAGCAGUCAGGUGCUGAGCGACUUAAAGACAUUCUUGCAGUGUUAGCUUUUCCCAAAGCCCAAUUAUUUGGGUUUUAGAAAAGUGACUGAAUCAGAUCAUCGGCCCAGGAUAAAUUUUGUUUUGCCUUUAAGCAAGCUCCAGUUGUCCUUUGUAGAGUCUAUGAGUGAACAGAAUAAUCAAGAAACACACGACUCUUCAAGGACAGGAAAGGGGAAGAAAAGUAAUAUUUUCUGUGUUUAGGUUUGCCAGGCACUUAGCUCACUUAAUCCUCUCAAUAGCUUUAGGUCGUAGAUCUUAUUAUCCCCAUUUUACAGAUUAGAGAGUCUAGCCUCAGAGGUUAAGAAACAUGCCCCAAGUUCAAACAGCCAGAAAAUGACAAGCCUGGGAUAAGAACUCAAGUCUGAUUUCAAAGUCACUGUGUUUUCACGCUAUGUAGGUUGAAGAAUUUCUUAAUGCAUCUUGAAAACUCGAAAAAAACUUGUUUUUGUUUUGUUAUUUCUGUUAUUUUAAAAAAAUGAACAGAAAAUGGGUUAUUUAAAAGUACUGGGUUCUUACUCAACCAGGUAUUAAGACUCAUUCAAAGCUCUAUUACAUAAGUUGGAACAGGGAUCUGAGAAACAGCUCAGUGAAGAUCAGUGGAGACACGGAUAGGGGUUGUUUAAUAAAAAGUGUUGGAGAAGCUGACUUCCCAUAGAAAAAUAAGUAAAAAGUUAAAUUGCUACCUGACCUCACGGGUAGAAACAAACUCCAGCUGCCCUAAGUAUCUAACACUUAAAAGAAAGCAAAUUUUUGAAAAAUAUCUUUAAAACUUUAGAAAAACAUAGUAGACUAUAUUUUUUCUUUUAAGCCAGGAAAGAAAAACAAACAAACAAACAAAUAAACAAAUAAAGGAAAAAAUGAAUAGAAUUGGCUGCCACAAAAUUUAAUGCUUUUGUAGAAUAAACAGCCUGAUUUACAAAGUUAAAAGAAGAGAAUUAGCUUGAGAGAAGACAUUAGCAAGAUAUACAGCAUUCAAGGAUAGUAUUGAAAAUGUAUUAAAGAACAACCUUCAAAACUCCUACAAAUCAAUACCCAAGGAGAGACAAGCUAGUAGAUAAAUGGGCAGAGGUUAUAGAACAGGAAGUUCACACCCCCAGAAUAAACAAACGCAUGAAACAUUGUUCAGUCACCCAGGGAAACAACAGCAGAAAUAACACAAUUGGCAAACACACUUUUAUGAAGAGUGAGUGAGGAUGAGUCAAGGGAUGCACUGUAUAUUGCCCAUUUGAGUGUAAAUUUGUUCAGCCAUUUUUGUCACAUCAGGUUAAAACUGACAAUGUGCAUAACCAUUUGGAACCUACUUCUGGACACAUGUACCAAGGAAACCCUCAUACAGGCACAGGACCAGCUACCCCUCAGAAGGGCCCUGUGCCUUGUUUAUGCUGUGCUUUCACUGUCUUGAAAUUCCUAAUAAUUGUGUUUUUGAACUUGUGAUUUUGAGUGAAGUUUGAUAGGACAAUCGAGCACAUUGUGAGCAGAGGAGCCCACUGGUCCAGCUGCCCUAUUCACAGAUGGUAUCAGGAUGGGAUGCUCCAUGAGCACAAAAUUCCCGUGGACCCCUGAUGUGUGAGAGUUCAGCAGAACUCAGAGGGAGCACAAAGUAAGCAUGCUUCAUCUCCCCCCAUGGAAAUGGAGAAUCAGCUGCCCCAAGAGGCCACACUGUCCAUUUGAACCACAUGUGGCUUCCAUGCAAACAGAAGGCUCUGGCAUUCCAAGAAGCAGGAGAGACCAAGGAAGCCUGCUGUAUCCUUUUCCAUUCAUGUUACUGGUUGGCAUUAGCCAACCAGACUUUCUGAAAAUGAUGACAGUGAAGAAAAGAGAAAGACAACUUUCCCUUUCAGUUUCCCCUCAUUCUUCAGGUAAGAGGUGUGGGUAGAGCAGGAAUCAAGAAGUGAAAUGAAAACUGUAAGUGAGCUUUGUGCAGAGUUCCCACUAUCCUGGUAAGAAUGGAAUGCAUACCUAUAUAGGAGCUAUGAAAUGCAAGGCAACAGAUUUCUGUGAUUUGGCAUAUAAGUUAAAUAGCUUCUGUUUGUAUUUGUAAUAGACAUAAAAUGAAAGGUAAAAUUCAUGAUAAUAAUUUACACUCAAUUUUUUUCUUCAUAGAACAUUAGGAAAUAAAGAAACACUGUGGCAAGUUGAGAAAGCAAGAGAGAAAGAGCAAGAGAGAUCAUGGAAGAAAAGAAAAAGCUACUAUUUCAGUGCCUUUAACAGCACUUUUUCCCCUAUAUUUUGAAAAGAACAUUCUGCCCCAGAGUUUCAUUUUCCACUGGCUCUGUGUAGUCACAUACGGAAACAUGAACAGAAAAGUCCAUUUUAGCAUAAUUGUAAAGAAAAAAGAAAUAAUCUGAUAUCCAGGAAUAGGGAAAUGGAUGGAUUAUGACAUAAUCUUCAUGAUGGACUACUGCAUUGCAGUAUUAAAUGGAUUAAAUAAAUUAAACAAAUAGACAGGUAUAUGGAUAGAGAUCCAGAAGAACAUUGAGAAGAAAUUUAAGCAGGAUGACUUUAUAUGUGAUAUGAGAUUGUGUCUCUAUAUGAUUUUAUAAAAUACCCACAAAAUCAAUUAUUUACAGAUAUAUUUUUGUAUAUGGUAUAAACACAUUGACCAGUUACAUACCUAAUUCAUACUUAAUUACAUAACUAAAAUACACUGAUUUUAUACAGUGAGAGAGGGAGAAAAAGAAAAUAGUAUUAGGGAGAGGAAAAGGGAAGAUUUUAAUUUUCUUAUUAUAUCUUAAAAAUUGCAACAAAAUAUGAACUUUUUUAAUUUUGAAAACAUGUUCGGUGAUGACUACUUGGAUUUGAUACACUGCUUUUAGUGAUCUCUUUUUUAAUUUAAAAAGGUUCUCCCUAAUUUAAAUAAUGUAAGUCAGCCAUCUCUCUUAUUAACCCUCCAUUCUGAACACAAUUUCCAAAAGCAAAAUAAAUAUUUGAUGGGAAUACAGAGUGAAUCCCCCCUCUCUAUUUCUUUGAGCAAAGUACUAAAACAUGAUUUCACGUAUUUAUCAGUAUAGGAGGAAUGACAGGGAGGCCUGGAGUAAAUCUCCAUGGUAUUUGUGAACGGAGGUCAGGCACAAACCAUUUGCUAAUCAUCUGAUUGGCACAGAAAAACACAUCAUGCAUCUAAUUUACAAUUAAUGUUAGUUUUUGACUCUCUUGAGUUAACUUUUUUAAAAAAAAAAUGCAUACGACUUUUAUGUCCUGAAUUUGCUAAUAAGAAGUCAGACCUUUGGAAUCUGUCAUUAUCUUCUGGAGGAUGGAUGCGUUCUUGGCCUUGGACCAGACAAGAGCACAGUGGUGAUUUACUGAUGCAUACCGCACCCCUCUGUCCUGGCUUUCACACAGAACUGUAAUAGCUCUUUAAACUCCAAGGCUUGAGUUCCAAUUCAUUCACCAUAAGCAUAAUGUAAAAUGGAAAUUACUUUGGCUCCAUAGUCACGAUGUAGACCACUCAUGUAUAAAAGCAUUGCAACAAAAGAAAAGAAAGUUAAUCUAGGCAAGUGAUGCCUGUUUGAGGUUUUGGUUUUAGUUCUUUUCCUUUCCAGAUGCUGAUAUAUCCCUGGGAAUUUUGUUGGGAUACUUGAGGUCUGGCCCUUUUGAGAAUGACAUGGUGCUGGCAAUAAUCUCUGGAAGGUGUUCUUCUCAAGCUCAGUCCAAGAGCCACCUGUCUUCUGGCCCCUGUUCCUCACCUGUCUCCCACCUCCUAGACAAUUGCCCUGUGAGCAAACCAGACUGUACUCAGGAACAUGGAGGACUCUUAGCAAGGCCAACCUCAGGCUAAUCAGUCAGAAGCUGAGUGCACUGUCCUGGCUGUCCUAACACACAGCUCACUUCUGUAGGAAAGCUAAAGUGGACUGCCUGAGCAGAGAGGUGCUGAUUCCAGGACUCAUUCCAGAGAUGCAGCUGUACUUUUGAGUCUAUUACUGCCCCUGAGCACCCUGCUAAGGAGAAACCCCACUGGAAUAGUCCUGGCCCCUCCACAAGGGGACUGUGCCCCUUGUUCCAAUUGCACAUCAUUAUUUUUCACUAUGACUCAUGAGAUCAGCAUAUCAAAAAUGUUACUUAAUAGCCUUUAUAGUAUUUAUUUGAAAGUUACUUUAUAUUUUUAGGUUGUACAGUGUUUGUUUCACUCAGUAGCUAGGAGCAUUUUAUUUAAUCAUAAUUAUGUCAUAACGUUUGACUUUUUUUUCUAUUUUUCAGAAUCACAUACAACACUGCAAAUACUAUCUUUGCAUGUGGCUCCCCCACCCCUUUAUUUUAGGGGCAGGGAGAGAGUACCACAUUACUUUAUUUGAAGGAAUGGUACAAACAGAAGGACUCAGGUGGAUGUUUCUGUGCAUGGCUCUUUAUUUUCCUGUUGAAUUAUUCUCCAGAGUAAUUCUCAUUAGUGUUCUUACUAGCUCACAGUCUAAACACAUUUUAGAGACCUUCAUAUUUUUUAAAAAGGGUACUGCCAUUUAUAAUGUCAAUAAUGAAUGCUGACACUUUAAAUUUUGUUUAGUUUAAUAUAACACUUCUUUUGAAAAAAUAUUUUCCUCACUUUUUGCUUUAUUUUUCUCAAAUCAUUAUGGUUUCUGAUUUUCCCCUGUAACCUAUCCUACUUAAUCAGAAAGACCUAGAAUUCUUCCUUCCACUGAUAAAAACAGGGCUCUUCUUGUGAAAAUGGAACUCAUGUGGUCUGAUCUGGAGUUGCUAAAAACUGUCUUUCUGUUGUUAACUCCUUAUCCUCUGUAGCUACUCAGGGGGAGCCCAAGAGAGAAGAGAAGGGGAACCCAAAAGUACCAAGAACUAUCUUGGCCUUUUAAAAAUAAAUUUCCCAGUGUAAUACAAAACACGAGCACAUACUCUCUCCCCAGAGCCUCCCAAGCCUUGAAACACUACAUCUAGAGUCUUCCAACUAGGCAUGCAUUUAGUCUAAGAAAUUAAAAGAGAAACAACUGCUGGGCACGAUGGUACACAACUAAAAUUCCAGCAUCUUGGGAGACUAAGACAGGAAGACCACAAGUUCAAAGCUAGUCUCAGCAGUUUAGGAAGCCCCUAAGCAACUUAGAGAGACCCUGUCUCAAAAAAAAAAAAAAAAAAAGGGCUGGUAGAGCACCCCUGAGUUCAAUAUCCUAUACCAAAAGAAAGAAAGAAGGAAUCCUAUCCAGAAAUAUGACCAUAACUCAUGUUAACAUCUAUUAGUGCACCAAAAAUUUAAAAACUUAAGAAAGAAAAAGAGAUUCAUCCUGAUAAAUACGAACACAUAUUUUUAAUUAAUGCCUUUCUUAAAAAGUUGUUAUCUUUCAAUGAUUAAAUCUUUUGAUUCAGAUACUGUUCUGGGUCAUAUAUGGGUUUGCACUGAAAUCUGAAAUCACUUAUUCCGCUUUGCUUUCUUUGCAAAUGAGAAGAAAAUAAACCAUAAGAAAAUUUAAAUCAAAAUCAAAAGCGUUCGUAAAUUUCACAGCACCUGGAUGUAUAAAAUUGAAGUAUUUCUACAAACACAAUCCUUGAAUUGGAAGCUGACUUAGAUUUUUGACUUUCCAAGAGUUCCACAUUGUCUGUGCAGCCCUCUCUGUUCAUGGGCUUAAUGUCUCUUUGGCUUUUCACCAAUGUUCAAAAUGUUCCCCUAGCUCAAGGUCUGCAAAGACCUGCCCAGUGGAGAGCCUGGUUGCAGCCCCAUCCUUAGGCAACACUGCCAUCUGGUGGGCAGCGAAUUCAUCCCAAAAUGAAGUUGCGUUUUCCCAACUGUAGGCACAAAUGAAGUUUUGUCUUUUUAAUGCUCUUUCACUUCUAAGCCUAUAGGACCCCCAGGUGACAGAAAGUCAAGAUGGUUUGGGGGAGAUGAUUUGUAAUGCUUGUUGAUACCAUCUCUGAGAUAUUGAACAAACUAAGAUCUUAUUUGAGAGUUGGAAAGCUAAAUUUUCAAGAUUCAUUGUUAAUAUGCCAGACCUAAUAGCAUGAUCUUGCCAAUGGGACAAUAAUGUGGCAACACUGUGCCAUGUGUGAGCUGGCAUGCUUCGUGACUUGAUCUACUCUUGUAAAAAAUGACUCUACGGGACAUGUGGUCAUCAGACAUACUGCAGAAAUUUACUAACAUGUGUUGAGCUUUGUGGAAAUAGAUGUUUCAUGUUGAAAGAUACAUUUGAAGCUUUAACGACACUAAAAACCCAAAGGUAUUUGGGGAAAAUGUUUGAAUCAGUAUAAAAAUUAAGACAUUAGUGUGUUAAUAAUGAAAAAAAUAAUGAUUUCGUUGUGACAAAACUAUUUCCUUACAAGCUCCUUAUAAACUUUCUCUUGGAUAAUCCUUCUUGUAUGGCUAUUCAUGUCCCUUGGGGGAAAAAGACCUGUGUGCUUCUAGAUUGUUCCUAAGAAAGCUUUUUGUUUAACUCAGAUGUGCUAUUCCUGCAGAGCUGUCACUAAUAGAAAUAAUCUCUGAUGUUGUUGUCCUGUGUGGAUUCUCCACUAUUAAAUUUCAAUUUUAAAAUGCAAA